rnacentral:rRNA from 1 species
GAUGAACGCUAGCUACAGGCUUAACACAUGCAAGUCGAGGGGAAACGAUAGAGAAAGCUUGCUUUUUCUAGGCGUCGACCGGCGCACGGGUGAGUAACGCGUAUCCAACCUGCCCAUCACUUGGGGAUAACCUUGCGAAAGUAAGACUAAUACCCAAUGACGUCUCUAGAAGACAUCUGAAGGAGAUUAAAGAUUUAUCGGUGAUGGAUGGGGAUGCGUCUGAUUAGCUUGUUGGCGGGGUAACGGCCCACCAAGGCGACGAUCAGUAGGGGUUCUGAGAGGAAGGUCCCCCCACAUUGGAACUGAGACACGGUCCAAACUCCUACGGGAGGCAGCAGUGAGGAAUAUUGGUCAAUGGACGAGAGUCUGAACCAGCCAAGUAGCGUGCAGGAUGACGGCCCUAUGGGUUGUAAACUGCUUUUAUAAGGGAAUAAAGUGAGUCUCGUGAGACUUUUUGCAUGUACCUUAUGAAUAAGGACCGGCUAAUUCCGUGCCAGCAGCCGACGG